AGCAAAAAUUAGAGGUCUGGCCAUUGUUGACUAGUUUUUAAAGGGCAAAAUGUAACUUUACAUUUGUUCAUACAAAAAAAGCUAAAAUAAAUGAAUUAAAAAAAUAAAAAUCAUAUUAUCUUAAUCUUCUCCACGCACCCAAAACUAAAACCAAAACCAAGAGCACGGAAACGCCGACACCCACGACCAUCAUCUCCAACCCCGCUCGGCAUCAUCAUCCAACAAUCACCAGCAGAAUCUUCACCAAGGAGGAUAAACGCAUUCAAUCAAAAUCCAAGCAUUUUCUUGAUUUAAACGCAUAAAUGCAUAAAUUUCUCGCAAACCCAUCUCUAAUUUUGAUUCAGAAUUUGGGGAAAUUAAGGAAAAAUGAUGACAAUUGAAGGGAUGAUGGAUAGAAGGGGUGUUGGAUGAUAUAAUAUGGAAGCUUUUGAAAAGCAAAGGGGAAAAUAGGUGCAGCUUUCGGAGGCGAAGAUCCGACAACUUUCGGAGUGCGGAGAUCACUGGGUCAAUUUCUAUCUUUAAAACCGUCUCAACAACCAUACUACAAAUUCCUUCAAACGGUGUACUAAGAGCUACAAUUGAAAAGUGAGAAGGAAUUCUGUACUUCUGUCUUUGCCUCCCUUAACAGAACCCUCCAAUCCUUUUUCCAUGACUGGAAUCUAGAUUUCCUACUCAGGAUCUGUGGAAGGAGUGGUGGUGCCGCCGGAUUUGGUGGCGAUGAUGAUUGGUUGAGUUGAAGGGAGAAGUGGGCCGGUGGCUCUAAUGUGGG
rnacentral:lncRNA from 1 species